CUCUCUCUCUCUCUCUCUCUCUCUCUCUCUUCAAUUAUCACAAUUCACAACUCCCCCAAAUACGUCUUUCAACCGUUUCUCCAUUUUUCCAUAACGCUCCAUUUUCUUCACCAUCACAUCACCUUUACCGUCGCGCCACGUCAUCACCACCGCAUUUGUUACCGGAAAUGUUAACUGUGUUAUUACCGUAUUGUACAACAACAACAACGACGAUAUAAAUUCAGAUAUCUCGUAAAAAUCUCAAAGUCUUUCCCAAAACCUUCAUUUUUCUUCACCGCCACGUCACCGUCACCGCAUUUGUUACCGUGUUGUAGUAUUACAACAACAACAACGGCGAUGUAAAUAUAAUUCAGUUUCAUAAGAAUAUCAAUUUCUCAAAGUCUUUCCAAAACGCUCAAUUUUCUUCACCGCCACGUCACCGUCACUGUUACCGAAAAUGUUAAACUGAUUUGUUACCGUGUUGUACAACAACAACGAUAUAAAUUCAGAUUCACUGCCACGUCACCGUCACCGCAUUUGUUAUUACCGUGUUGUAUAGCAAACAACAACAACAACGACGAUAUAAAUAUAAAUUCAGAUUCACUGCCACGUCACAGUCACGGCACAUUACGUCAUGUUAACUGAUUUGUUACCGUGUUGUACAACAACAACUGCGAUUAGUACUACAACUACUAACGCUAGUAUUAGUGCUGGUACUGGUAUUACUAAAUCUGUUUUGAUUGUUCGUAAGAUCGCUACGAUAGCGCUAUUCGUAUCGUUUUCGUGUUUCGUGCUUUAUAGAGCGAGUGAAAGCAUCGGCUUCAGGCUCCCAAGCGGUUUCACUUCACGCGCUUCGUUUUAUCUACCUGAUGAUAAUGUGAACGCUAAUUCAUCGGAUAGUGAGGAGUACAGGCUUGAGAAAGUGUUGAAGAAUGCUGCUAUGGAGGAUAACACAGUGAUCUUAACAACUUUGAAUGAAGCAUGGGCUGCUCCUAAUUCAGUUGUUGAUCUGUUUCUUGAAAGUUUUAGGAUUGGAGAUCACACUCGUGGACUUUUGAAUCAUUUAGUCAUUGUUGCUCUUGACGAGAAAGCAUUCUCCAGGUGUUUGGCUUUACAUACUCAUUGCUACGCACUAGUGACUCAAGGGGCUGAUUUUUCAAAGGAAGCUUAUUUCAUGUUCCCUGGCUACUUGAAGAUGAUGUGGAGAAGGAUUGACUUUUUGAGGGUAGUGCUUGAAAUGGGAUUCAACUUUGUCUUCACGGAUGCUGAUAUCAUGUGGUUUAGAGAUCCAUUUCCUCACUUUUACAAGGAUGCAGACUUUCAGAUAGCAUGUGAUCAUUUCUCAGGUAAACCGGAUGAUGUGGAGAAUAAACCUAAUGGUGGUUUCAAUCACGUGAGGUCGAAUAACAGAUCAAUUGAAUUUUACAAGUACUGGUAUUCGUCAAGAGACAAGUAUCCAGGUUUGCAUGAUCAAGACGUUCUUAAUAAUAUCAAGAACGAUUCUUUCAUAAGGGAUAUUGAUCUCAAAAUGAGAUUCUUGGACACAGCAUACUUUGGUGGAUUUUGUGAACCAAGCAAAAAUCUGAGUGAAGUAUGUACAAUGCAUGCUAAUUGUUGUUAUGGGAUGGAAAGCAAACUUCAUGAUCUUAGAAUCCUUCUUCAAGACUGGAAAAACUUCUUGUCGUUGCCACCAGCACAGAAGAUAUCAUCGGAGUUAUCAUGGCGAGUUCCUCAAAACUGCAGUCUUGAUUCUCUCCGCCACUAUGCUCCGCCACCAGUGAAUAAUAUAGAACAGUUGAAUGGACACAGAAGAUAGGUCGAAAUUUUGUAAUUUUAGUUGCUGUUGUUGUUUCAGAAAUUAGAAGUAAUUGAAAGGUUAAUACAAAAAGAUGGCGAAAUCU